CCCGCUGAACUUAAGCAUAUCAAUAAGCGGAGGAAAAGAAACUAACAAGGAUUCCCCUAGUAACUGCGAGUGAAGCGGGAAGAGCUCAAAUUUAAAAUCUGGCAGUUCCCUGAGCUGUCCGAGUUGUAAUCUAGAGAAGUGCUUUCCGUGCUGGACCGUGUACAAGUCUCUUGGAAUGGAGCGUCAUAGAGGGUGAGAAUCCCGUCUUUGACAUGGACUACCAGCGCUUCUGUGAGGCACUCUCGAAGAGUCGAGUUGUUUGGGAAUGCAGCUCAAAAUGGGUGGUAAAUUCCAUCUAAAGCUAAAUAUGGGCGAGAGACCGAUAGCGAACAAGUACCGUGAGGGAAAGAUGAAAAGAACUUUGAAAAGAGAGUUAAACAGUACGUGAAAUUGUUGAAAGGGAAACGUUUCAAGUCAGUCGCGUUGGCUGGUAAUCAACCUUUGCAAUCUUGCUGGGCUUACUUUCCAGUCGACGGGUCAGUAUCAAUUUUGACUGUCAGAUAAAGGCGUGGGGAAUGUGGCAUCUUCGGAUGUGUUAUAGCCCCUUGUCAGAUGUGAUGGUUGGGAUUGAGGAACUCAGCAUGCCUUUGCUGGUCGGGGCCUACAAGCCCACGUAACAUGCUCAGGAUGCUGGCAUAAUGGCUUGAACCGACCCGUCUUGAAACACGG
rnacentral:rRNA from 1 species